UGGAAUUACCGGCAUGAGCCACCAUGCUCGGCCCCCUUGCAGCACUUAUCUCUCCACAUUGAGACACGGGACUACAUUGUGAGUCCCUCCUUCCCCCAAAAGAAGAUAAACACACUUUGCAGACUCCCCUGCAGGCACAUGACCUAGCUUCCACCGAUCAGAUGCACAAGACUUGGAAGCAAGUAAACGUGGGCAAGGUGAGCUAGCUGGGCGUGGAGGAGAGUGAUCUCCCGGCAAGCAGGAGUCAGCUGGCAUGGUUUUGCUUCAAGUUGUGGGUCCAGAUCAUUUGGGAAGCAGCAGAGACCUGGGGAUGCUCUUGCCUGGUGGGCAGCACAAGCACGAGAGGUGCACCACACAGGUGCGUUGAAAGCCCCUGCCCGUGCCAAGUCUGCUGAAGUUCCAUUGGCCAAAGCCACUCACUUGGCCAAGCCUGUAGUAUCAGGGUAAGUGAGUGUGUUCUACCCGCUCUGUGGGGUGGCCCUGCAAGGCCACCUGUGUAAUCCUAUUACAGGUGGAUGAGUGAAAGGUCAGGAUGAACAAUCCAAUCUAACAGGUCCCACAUGCUCCACAGUGACCCCAAAGCCACAGUAACACUCUAACCCCACCUACACCACUGGGCAGGAUCUCCUCAGGGCAGGGGGGCGGGGGUGCUGCCUCACGCAGGAGCUGCCUUCAGGUCUGGCUGGCCCCAGGGCCUCUGCAGAUCCAUUCUUGCUCAAUUCCUAAGAGUUCAGGGUUUCCCAUCUUGCCUCCCAUCAGCUCUGGGAAGCCAAAGACUCCGUCUGUUUCUCAGAGGAAGAACUUGAAGUUCAGGGAGCCAGGGUGUGGCUGAAGAUUGCAGGGCAGACUCCCUGCCUCUGCCCAACCCCCACUGCCAUCCUGAGCCCAGCAGGGAGGUGCUGAGUGGUCAGGCUCGCCUCCCUGAGCACCUGCCUCCCAGGAGGGACACACUCCCAGCCACUUGCCCCUUUCCUCCAUGCCACCCCCACGCUCAGCCUAUGCCCUCCCUGCAGAAAUGCAG
rnacentral:lncRNA from 1 species